rnacentral:sRNA from 1 species
CUGUGGGAGAGAACCAGGCAAGAGGCUUCGACCCGU